rnacentral:piRNA from 1 species
UUAUACUUGCACCUCAAGCUG